UACGUAGGGGGCUAGCGUUGUCCGGAUUUAUUGGGCGUAAAGAGCGUGUAGGCGGCCAGGUAGGUCUGGUGUGAAAACUCGAGGCUUAACCUCGAGAUGUCAUCGGAAACCAUCUGGCUAGAGUCCGGAAGAGGAGAGUGGAAUUCCUGGUGUAGCGGUGAAAUGCGCAGAUAUCAGGAGGAACACCGGUGGCGAAGGCGGUUCUCUGGGCAUUACCUGACG
rnacentral:rRNA from 1 species